rnacentral:rRNA from 1 species
UUGACCUCGGAUCAGGUAGGGAUACCCGCUGAACUUAAGCAUAUCAAUAAGCGGAGGAAAAGAAACCAACAGGGAUUACCUCAGUAACGGCGAGUGAAG